GGAAAAUUUAAAAACAUUGAAGAAAGCGAAAUUACAUGCAAAUGUUUAAAAAAAAUACCAAUCAUGUCAAGAUUGACACUAAAAGGCAAAAAUCAGCGAUUAUCAACGUUCAAAUGAUUCAAUAACCGCAAGGAAUAUGUUGAGGAAAAUUCGUAAUAAAUAGAAGCAUUUCAUUGACACAGAUUCCCGUCGGGCGUACAUCACGUAUCUGCGAUAAAUUGAUUUGGUACCAGAUGUGACCGUAUACAGAUAUUUGGAAUCGGCGUGUGGGAAACUCUGAGCUACUCCGCCAGUGAUCGAUGAUACGGCAUCCCUACAGCCCGGCUUACACUCAUUGAGGGGGGGAUUAUAUCGAGACGUUGACGAAUUGCUACCACUUCACACACAGAUAGCACUAUUCAAUCGAUUUAAAACUUUAGCCGAUGACCAGCCGGGCUGUAUUUAUCACAACUCACGAGAUUGGAUGGAUUUUAUUUGCUCGACCUAAAGGCGGAAAGUUUGUUGCAAAACAAAAUUUCAAUAGCAGAGAGUUUAUUGCCACCGUCCCGUCGGGACCGCGCGCCGAUCAAAAUGUAAGAUAGAUCCUAUAAAAUGAAAUCGUACGCCGAAACCUGCCAAAUUAUGUUUGAGCUCGAAAAUUGAAAACAAAUUUUAUACACGACCCUUUCUGCUGCAAUUAAAGUCGAUGCAGCACUAAAACUCUUCUAAAUCUCACUAUCGGGGUUCAAUAUUUUGAUUGCAUUAUACUUUUCAUCAGGCGCUGUACAAUUGGUUAAUAAAUUGUUGCCACAAAAUAUUGUUACUCACGAUGAAAUUACGACCAAGCUCCUUUUUUUUAUUUUUUCCUUUGCAUGACAAGACG